AUGGAUGUAAGAAAUGAACCACUACAGAUGCAAGAAAAACAUGUCCUUGCACUUUCUGUCUGUCUAAUUGUGGCAGCUGAGAUUGAAUAGAGGAAUACAGGG
rnacentral:snoRNA from 1 species